UGCUGCCCCAAUGGCCCCUAA
rnacentral:misc_RNA from 1 species